rnacentral:misc_RNA from 1 species
AAAAGCAAUCAAAUACAACUUUCAACAACGGAUCUCGUGGCUCUCGCAUCGAUGAAAAACGCAGCGAAGUGCGAUAAGUAGUGUGAAGUGCAGAUUUUCAGUGAAUCAUCGAAUCUUUGAACGCACCUUGCGCUCCGUGGUAUUCAGAGGAGCGUGCCUGUUUGAGUGUCAUUAAAUCCUCAACCCCGUCCGUCGGUCGGGGCUUGGACUUUGGAGCGUGCUGGCGAAGGUCGGCUCCUCUUUAAGUGCAUCAGCGGAGAAAAACAAACCUUUUUUCCCCCUUCAGCGUGAUAAGUGUGUUGCGCUGUGGUCGCGAAAGGGUCCGCUCAUAAUCGUCCUCAGACAAACACCGAAUCUGUUUUGACCUCAGAUCAGGUAAGACUACCCGCUGAACUUAAGC